rnacentral:rRNA from 1 species
GACGAACCGUGCAAACGUUGUUCGGAAUCAUUGGGCGUAAAGGGCGUGUAGGCGGUUUGUUAAGUCAUGUGUGAAAUCCCUCGGCUCAACCGGGGAACGACGCAUGAAACUGGCAAGCUAGAGUACCAAAGAGGGGGGUGGAAUUCCCGGUGUAGCGGUGAAAUGCGCAGAUAUCAGGAAGAACACCAACGGCGAAGGCAGCUCGCUGGGACGGUACUGACGCUGAGACGCGAAAGCGUGGGGAGCGAACAGG